GUUCCUGCUUCCUCCCCUAUUGCCGGUCGCCUACGAGAAAGGCGGGACAAACCAGCGAAGCUCUGGUCCAGCAGCCCCCAGAUCGAGUGGUGUUCAGACCAGUUGUCUCCCUCAACCCCGCAACCCUGCUGCCUGGUGUACGAAUGGGAGCAGCUUCCUCCAAGAAAAAAAACGGAGGGCCGGAGCAGCCGUCACCACCGAAUCGGAGAUAGUUUGGACCUCACCACUGCCACCUGGAACAUCGGCCCAAAAGACAGAGCUGAUCGCGCUGACCCAGGCCCUCCGGAUGAUGAAAGCCCGGAGGACCAGGAACUAACAAA